rnacentral:lncRNA from 1 species
CACUCCACUGACUGUGCAAUGGUGCAAAACCCAAAGGGUCGAUGCCACAAACCCACCCCAUUGCCUUUGCAAUGGUGCAAUACCUGAAGAGUUGACCCACAUAUAUCCCACAGCCACACCGGGUGCAACAAACCCACCCCAGUGCCUUUGCAAUGGUGCAAAACCCAAAGGAACGACCCACAGGUGUCCUACAGCCACACUGGGUGCAGCAAACACACCCCACUGACGUUGCAGUGCUGCAGAAUAUCAAAGGCCAAUGCAACAAACCCACCCCAUUGCCUUUGCAAUGGUGCAGUACCCGAAGAGCGGACCCACAUAUAUCCCACAGGCACACCGGGUGCAGCAAACACACUCCAUUGGCUUUGCAACGGUGCAAAACCCAAAGGUCUGACCCACAACGUGUCCUACAGACACACUGCAUGCAGCAAACACACCCCACUGCACUGCAAUGGUGCAAAACCCAAAGGACCAAUGCAGCAGACCGCCCCACUGCACUGCAGUGGUGCAGAACCCAAAGAGCCGAUGCAACAAACCCAAACCAUUCGCUCUGCAGUUUAGGAUGGAGAGAUUGAUGCACCCGGGGCAGACAGUGACCUCCUCGGCCCCACACCUAUGGGGCUGCUGCUGUCCAAGCAUCAGCACUAUGGGGUCGGAUCGCUCCUACGGUGCCGAUGUCCCCAUUCCGGCUGCCAGGACUGCCGCUCUUCGGACACAGCGCCGCAGAGGACGGUUCCCACAG